rnacentral:rRNA from 1 species
GACGAAGGGGGCUAGCGUUGUUCGGAAUUACUGGGCGUAAAGCGCGUGUAGGCGGUUAUCCAAGUUGGAUGUGAAAGCCUUGAGCUCAACUCAAGAAAUGCAUUCAGGACUGGGUGACUAGAGGACCGGAGAGGAUAGUGGAAUUCCCAGUGUAGUGGUGAAAUACGUAGAGAUUGGGAAGAACACCAGUGGCGAAGGCGGCUAUCUGGACGGUUUCUGACGCUAAGACGCGAAAGCGUGGGGAGCAAACAGG